UACGGAGGGUGCGAGCGUUGUCCGGAAUCACUGGGCGUAAAGGGCGCGUAGGCGGCCUGAUAAGUAGGGGGUGAAAUCCUGCGGCUUAACCGCAGGGCUGCCUUCUAAACUGUCGGGCUAGAGCACGGUAGAGGCAGAUGGAAUUCCCGGUGUAGCGGUGGAAUGCGUAGAGAUCGGGAAGAACAUCAGUGGCGAAGGCGGUCUGCUGGGCCGUUGCUGACGCUGAGGCGCGGCAGCGUGGGGAGCAAACAGG
rnacentral:rRNA from 1 species